CCGACGCGCGGCACCGCAGCGCGCAGUGCCGCGCGUGGGGCGGAGGCGGGAGCCGGGCUGGGGUCAAGGUCGGCGCGGGCAAGCGGUGGGGGCCCGCAUGCGCCUCACCCGGCCCAGCGCUUUGCAGCUGCUGUCACGCGCGCACACUCAGGCUUGGCCGGAGCCUGCCGCGUGCUGGCAGCUGAAAUCCAGGCGUUUCCACGGUUGCAGUAGCUGUGAGAUCCCAGCAGAGUAUCCACCUCACGCAGGGAACCCAAGCCAGACGGUAAAAAGAGGGUGAGCUUGUCCCAUUGCACUGAUGUGUCUCAAGGAUAUCCCUACUAUGUAGACAUAAACCUCCUUGAUGAAAAGAUGGACAGUGCCCGGCAAGUGGAAAUGCUAACUACCGCAUGGUUCUGAGAAGUAAAGCGAUUACAGACACUGGCUCCACAUCAGAGGGGGCUUGCACCAUCCAUUCCAAGUGCUCGGUGAACACCUGCUGGGUACCAGGCACAGGACAGGGUUGGACAGAGAACAGUAAGCAGGCCCCGGCUGCCACGUUCCAGCCUGUGUGAAAGAAGGACCAUUGAGAUGUGAAAGAACACCCAUUGAGAUGGAGGAGCAGCACCCAGGAGAUGCUCUCAGGGUCUGGCCGCAUUGCUGCUCUUUACAUUGAGCCGCGGAAGGAAGAGAUGUGAAGGAGACAUACCCGAACCAGGGCUUCCAAAGCUUUGUUCUUUCAUCCAGGGGCUGUGUCCAUGCCGGACACAAGUGCCGGAAGAGAGCAGGACCACAGGCCCCCUGCCUGACCUUGAGCUGUAUGUCUGACUCACUCCCAGUGAUGGGCACUCAGCACGAAGCUGCCUCGGGAAAUCAGGCCACUCCAUCCAUCUGACUGGGCUGCUGGGCGCCGCUUUCAUCUCUGUCCUUGGCUGGGGGUAGGCUGUCCAUCUCUACAAGAUGGAAACAGCACUUUGAACUGCAUGGAAAAAAUGUACAGAGAGGAGACAAAUAUUCUUGGCCAAGCUUUCAGAGGAAAUAUAAGGAGCAUCUUUUGUUGUCAUGAGGCAACUCUGGACGAGCUCAUGGAUGGGGGCUGGUCACCAGAAAGACCAUGCCAGCGUUAGAUGCCAAAGUUUUAGCCCCACCACUAUCCUCUGGGAG
ensembl:lncRNA